CACACUAUAAUUUCUCAGAAUUUUUAAGAGUAAUUUUGGCUCUUGUUUGGUUGUUUCAUCAGAAGUAUGGAGAUGAGAAGUUUAGAAGCUUGAGCUAGCUCCUGUGUGGAUUUUCAGAAUGAAGUGUUUGGAAUUAUUGAAACCAUCAGCAUGUGAUUUAUCUACUCUCAUAAAGGCCCCAGCACAGCCGACCUGCAAAGAAUAAGCAGAAGCUCAGGGUACUUAGGAUCAGAAAAUUGGCACCUACCAUUGCUACCCACUGUAGCCUAGGACAAAUCCCCGAAGCCUUGAGGACUCCAUGUCUUCAUCUUCCAAACAGUGAUAAUACCAAGCACUUCAUAAAGUUGUGAUGAGAGUGAAAGAUGAUGGUCCAUGGAAUUCGAAUUUGCCAGAAUACAUCUUUGUACAAAU